AUUAUUGAGGAUUUGAUCCUGGUCCAGGAUGAACGCUGGCGGCGUGGAUAAGGCAUGCAAGUCGAACGGUUCAUUUGCUAAAUGAGAUGCGAUUACAUCAAGUCAAGUAAGGGAAAUGGAUAGUGGCGAACGGGUUAGUAACACCUUGGUACGUACCUCGAAGACGGAAAUAGCCCAUCGAAAGGUGGGGUAAUGUCCGAUAUUGUCGCAAGACGAAAGACGCAAGUCACUUCGAGAUCGGCCUAGGUCCGAUCAGCUAGUUGGUGAGGUAAUGGCUCACCAAGGCUAUGACCGGUAGGGGAGCUAAGAGGCUGUUCCCCAACGAGGAAACUGAGAUACGGUUCCUACUCCUACGGGAGGCAGCAGUCGAGAAUAUUCGACAAUGGGCGAAAGCCUGAUCGAGCGACGCCGCGUGCAGGAUGAAGGUCUUCGGACUGUAAACUGCUUUUAAUGAGGAUGAAGUAAUUGACAGUACUCAUGGAAUAAGGAGCUGCAAACCUCGUGCCAGCAGCCGCGGUAAUACGAGGGCUCCAAGCGUUAUCCGGAUUUAUUGGGCGUAAAGAGUGCGUAGGGGGUUUAGUGCGUCCGUUGUUAAAUGUCACCGCUCAACGGUGUCGCUGCAAUGGAAACGACUAAACUAGAGGGUGCUAGAGGCUAAUGGAACAUACGGUGUAGGGGUGAAAUCCGUUGAUAUCGUAUGGAACACCAAAGGCGAAGGCAUUUAGCUAGGGCAUUCCUGACCCUUAAGCACGAAAGCGUGGGGAGCAAAAAGGAUUAGAUACCCUUGUAGUCCACGCCCUAAACGAUGCAGACUAGCUGUUUCGAGUAUCGACCCUCGGAGCGGCGUAGCUAACGCGUUAAGUCUGCCGCCUGGGAAGUACGAGCGCAAGCUUAAAACUCAAAGGAAUAGACGGGGACUCGCACAAGCGGUGGAACAUGAGGUUCAAUUCGACAAUAAACGAAGAACCUUACCAGGGUUUGAAAUGCUUACGAAGAUCCAGCGAAAGUUGGGUCGUCUCUCAAGGACGUAAGCACAGGUGCUGCAUGGUUGUCGUCAGCUCGUGCUUUGAAGUGUUCCCUUAAGUGGGGUAACGAGCGCAACCCUUGCCCAGAGUUAGAUAUGUCUCUGGGGACUGCCGUGUUUAACACGGAGGAAGGUGAGGACGACGUCAAAUCCGCAUGGCCCUCUGAUACCCUGGGCUACACUCGUGUUACAAUGGCCGGUACAAUGGGUUGCCAAGCCGCAAGGCGGAGCUAAUCCCAUCAAAACCGGCCCCAGUUCAGAUUGAGGGCUGCAACUCGCCCUCAUGAAGUCGGAAUCGCUAGUAAUCGUGGGUCAGCUAUACCACGGUGAAUACGUUCUCGAGUCCUGUACUCACCGCCCGUCAAGUCAAGGAAGCCGGUAAUACCCGAACAGCGACGUUCGUCGUUGCAAGGUAAGAUCGGUGACAGGGGCUAAGUCGUAACAAGGCACGCGUAGCGGAAGCUGUGCGUGGAUCAUUUAAACU
rfam:Parcubacteria (Giovannonibacteria) bacterium GW2011_GWB1_47_6b TY02_C0002, whole genome shotgun sequence.